rnacentral:tRNA from 1 species
GGGCGGUUAGCUCAGCGGUAGAGCGCCUGCCUUACAAGCAGGAUGACACUGGUUCGAUCCCAGUACCGCCCA